UGAUAUGAAGGACUUUGCCUGGUCUCACCC
rnacentral:piRNA from 1 species